AUGUAAGGUCAAUUUGAUGGCUUAAAAAAAUACUUGAGUCUUACAUGCUUGUUGCUAUCUUUAAAACUAUGUCUAGAGGCACUGAUGUAUAACUUUGAC